UAAGAACUCAAACAACUUUCAACAACUUCCUUUUGUAUAAGGAGUAACUAAAAAUCUAGAUACAAACCUAUAAUAGAAAGAUAGUAAACUACAAGUACUUAAAAUUUACGUGAAAUUUAACACCAAAAUACUUGAAGAGACACUCCACACACUAUCUGAUAACUAUUUCAAAACAAAUUUAGUACAAGCUAAAUAAUAUACAACAACACCUCAGCUAACAGGCUCAGAAUCAACCAACACAACAGUUCGUAAUUGACUAGCCCACUACUCACCAGUAACCACCACAGAUCACUCAAAACUAAAGACUGAUAAACUAUAGUUACAUCAGUAAGAACAACAAAAUUUGUAUGUUAAAACUCGGCAACUAGUCUUCUACUGUUUAAUAAAAACAUUGUAACACAGAUGUGUUAUAACCUCCUGCCCAAUGAAAAUAUUUGAAUGGCCGCGGUAAUUUGACCGUGCAAAGGUAGCAUAAUAAAUUGUUUAAUAAAUUUAAACUAGAAUGAAAGGAAUAAAGAAGGAUUACUAUUAACAUACAAUCAACAGAAACUAUAAUUAAGGUGAGAAUUCCUUAUAACAACUUUAAAACGAGAAGACCCUAGAAACUAAUCAUCACAACUUUUUUUGGGAUAAAACUUUAAAACAAAAGAACCACCACCCUCUUAAAUAGAACAGUUACUCUAGGGAUAACAGCACAAUAAAAGCUAAGAGAACUCAUCUACCCUUUAGAUUGUGACCUCGAUGUUGAAUCAAGGAUUAUUAGUCGCAGAAGACUAACAGGUUUCGUCUGUUCGACGAUUCAAAAAUACGUGAUUUGAGUUUAAACCGUCGCAAGACAGGUUGGAUUCUCUUUAAAGCUGUACCACAUAAUUAUUACUAGUACGAAAGGAACGUAAUACCUAACAAUCAUUAUGAAAAAAUUCACAACAAAAUUAAGCAUAAACUUCA
rnacentral:rRNA from 1 species